rnacentral:tRNA from 1 species
GGGGCUGUAGCUCAGCUGGUAGAGCAGCGUCCUUUUAAGUCGAAGGUCGCGGGUUCGAUCCCCGCCGGCCCCA